AUCCCAUGACUAGGGCACUUCCUCAAGAAUUCCAUGUACCUUUCCCAUGCCUCGUACAAAGUUUUAGACUCCAUCUGUCAGAAAUAAGAUAUAUCAUAUCUGAGUUU